rnacentral:lncRNA from 10 species
AGCAGGUGAAGGGGUGGGGAGAGGAGACCAGCUUCAAGGGCCUCCCCUGAGGGUUCGUCUUCAGGACUGUGGAAGUCACAGGAAGAAGCAGCUGCUGGGCUGCCACAGAGCUGCCAGGUGAGUUCCAGUUCCUGCGUCCUCCCCUUGUUCCUGCCAGCGGGGGAUGGCAUCACGCAGGCAUGGUGAAUCCUGGCCCUUGGGACUUCCCUGCGCCUUGCACAGAUCGCACAGAUUGUGGUAGAUGGUCCCUUGCAAGUGUCAUCCUGCCUGAUGCAUCACCACCGAGGAAGCGACCGAAGUCAGAGACAGAGGAUGCUGCCACUCCCCAAGAAUGAAGCCGGGCUUCAUUCCCAUCACCUAGGCUGCAGUACAGGGGCAUGAUCUCGGCUCACUGCAACCUCCACCUCCUGGACUCAAGCAACCCUCCCAUUCCAGCCUCCCAGGUAGCAAGGACUACAGGCACACACCACCAUGCCAGGCUAAUUUUUGUUUGUUUGUUUUUGUUGAGACGGUGUUUCACCAUGUUGCCCAGGCUGGCCUCGAACUCCUGAGUUCAAGUGAUCUGCCCACCUUGGCCUCUCAAAGUGCUGGGAUUACAGGCACGAGCCACCACACUCAGCCUUCAUCAUCUAAUAAAAU